UUUAUACUGUUAGUUUGCAUUCUUGUGUCCUGUUUUGGCAGGAUCAUCGUAGUGAAACAGUAUUUGCUUUUGAAGGUUCCUCUCUGUCCUUGGCUUCAUCAUAAACAUUGACACAUUGAUGGUUCCUGUGCUGCUUGAAGGACAGCGAUAUGUCCUGACUUAUAGGUUCAGCCAUCAGAGCAUCCGGGGGCUGGAAUAACCAUCCUAAUGCCAGCCAGUUCAAGUACGUUUUCAGGAAGCUGAUGGCCCGGUGUGGGGUUGUCCAAUCAUGCAGAGGCAAUGUGACUGCACAGGAUGAGUCCCUACCAGCUGUCAUUGAUACCUCCACUAGCCUGUCAGCUGGAGAUAUGUCCUCUGCAGCAGGAGAAGAUCUUCCAUCCCCGUUUGCUGACAUUCCUGCGCUGGUACAUGACCACAGCUACCUUCCUGUCCGCUUUGAUGGUCUUGUGGACAACGCUCUCGUGUACAUUUCAGGAUUUGUUGUGCGACAGGCUCUGAAAAAGCUGUCCU